rnacentral:misc_RNA from 1 species
AAGUCGAAUCUGCGGAAGAUCAUUAACACGUAUCCAAACGUUAAAACUCUGUAAAUAUUGAAUCUCAGUUCCCCCAGGGCAGAAAAAUGGGCUUCCUCUAGUAAAUAAUUGUCUUCACAAGGUUUUGAGUUAGAAGAUGGCGCACGAGUAGCACCUGUAUUGAGUCGAGCGUUUACAACUAUCCACUGCUGGUGCCCUCAAGCAACCAUCAAUCUGAAAGUGUUGGUGAUGGAUAUUUUGGUUCUC